rnacentral:rRNA from 1 species
GACGAACGCUGGCGGCGUGCUUAACACAUGCAAGUCGAACGGAAAGGCCCUGCUUUUGUGGGAUGCUCGAGUGGCGAACGGGUGAGUAACACGUGAGUAACCUGCCCUUGACUUUGGGAUAACUUCAGGAAACUGGGGCUAAUACCGGAUAGGAGCUCCUGCUGCAUGGUGGGGGUUGGAAAGUUUCGGCGGUUGGGGAUGGACUCGCGGCUUAUCAGCUUGUUGGUGGGGUAGUGGCUUACCAAGGCUUUGACGGGUAGCCGGCCUGAGAGGGUGACCGGCGACAUUGGGACUGAGAGACGGCCCAGACUCCUACGGGAGGCAGCAGUGGGGAAUAUUGCACAAUGGGCGGAAGCCUGAGGCAGCAACGCCGCGUGCGGGAUGACGGCCUUCGGGUUGUAAACCGCUUUCGCCUGUGACGAAGCGUGAGUGACGGUAAUGGGUAAAGAAGCACCGGCUAACUACGUG